GGCCGGAUUCACCGGCCUUUUGAGAUUAACGUGCGAUUACUUUUCCUGAAGACCGAGUUUUUUCUCCAGAUAGUGGAUGUUAGUUCCACCGUGCUGGAAGUGUUCGUCAUUCAUGAUGCGGGUCUGCAGAUCGAUAUUGGUUUUGAUACCAUCGAUAAUCAGUUCCUGCAGGGCAUUUUUCAUACGGGCAAUCGCCACGUCGCGGUUUUCACCGUAGCAGAUGAGUUUGNNNCACACACUUAAUUAAUUAAGUGUGUG
rnacentral:rRNA from 1 species